CACCUGACUCUAUGAUGGUCUUCAAGUC
rnacentral:piRNA from 1 species